ensembl:lncRNA
GGGUGGGGGAACUGGCUGGUUUAGAUCAGGAGGCUCAUGGUAACAGUUGCUAUGGGGCCUGGUUAAUUCCAGAAAUUUUUGUCUUGUGACCUUGCUCUAAGGCUCCACACCUGUGACCUUGGUCUAAGCCUUCACACCUGUGACCUUGGUGUAAGUUUCCAUGCCUGUGACCUUGGUCUAAGGCUUCACACCUGUGACCUUGGGCUAAGGCUCCACACCUGUGACCUUGGGCUAAGCCUUCACACCUGUGACCUUGGUCUAAGGCUCCACACCUGUGAUCUUGGUACAGGGCUCCACAUGCUGGAUAUGAGGCGGGGGGGAGGGGGAGGGGUUCCAGGAGAAGUCAAGUCAGCCCUUCCCUGGACCAGUGAUCAAGAAAACACCAAGCAGGUGGCAGGCCCUGUGGCCCAGGAUCGACCUGGCUGCUGACCUUGCCAGUCACCCUCGCCAGCCUGGGGAGGCUCCCGCAGCCCCAGGGACUGGCAGGCCGCCCCAGCAUCCACUGUCUCAUCCCCAGGGCUGUGAAAGAAAGACACAGGUCUUCCAUUGUGUGCAAGGGAGUGUGGCUGUGGGCGGGGAGCCUCAGACAGAGCAUGUGGUGGGGGGGAUAGGCUCCCUAAUGAAACAAAGGCUUGACUGUUAGAGGAUCCCUCGCCGAGUCAUGCAUUUGGAUUGUGAGGCUUGGGUUAAGGAAAGAGCUUUCUCUGCAAGCACAACAGAUGCCUGGAAGUGACGUGCCCGCUCCAGAUGCUUGUGGGAGGCAAGACUGAAAGCCCCAGCGUGGCUAGUGGUCAGGGCCACCGCACUGCCAAGCAGGUCUUGGGAGCUGAAGACUGAAGAACGUGAGGAGAGAGGCUGUGUCCUUCACUUCAUGGAUCUGCGGGGCAACGCUGUACUACUGCGCUGAAGUGAACUCCAGGCAAACCAUGCACAGGCUUCAGUCCAGCUGUGACCGGUGGGCUAGACCCUGACAUCACCUACAAGAGCCUGGGAGAGCAGACGCGAGGGGUGGUCCGGCAUCUUCUCUGCAGCUUGAUGCCUCUGUGGUAGCCAGGGAGAAGCAUGGAGAGAGGCUGGCAGGGCUGGCUGACCAGAUCAGUGCUUGUCAGAGGUGAACAGGCUGAUGCCACAGGGAAGACAGAGCCAAGAAAAACUGUUUGUGGCUUCACAC